rnacentral:rRNA from 1 species
AGAGUUUGAUCCUGGCUCAGAUUGAACGCUGGCGGCAGGCCUAACACAUGCAAGUCGAGCGGUAACAGAGAGUAGCUUGCUACUUUGCUGACGAGCGGCGGACGGGUGAGUAAUGCUUGGGAACAUGCCUUGAGGUGGGGGACAACAGUUGGAAACGACUGCUAAUACCGCAUAAUGUCUACGGACCAAAGGGGGCUUCGGCUCUCGCCUUUAGAUUGGCCCAAGUGGGAUUAGCUAGUUGGUGAGGUAAUGGCUCACCAAGGCGACGAUCCCUAGCUGGUUUGAGAGGAUGAUCAGCCACACUGGGACUGAGACACGGCCCAGACUCCUACGGGAGGCAGCAGUGGGGAAUAUUGCACAAUGGGCGCAAGCCUGAUGCAGCCAUGCCGCGUGUGUGAAGAAGGCCUUCGGGUUGUAAAGCACUUUCAGUCAGGAGGAAAGGUUAGUAGUUAAUACCUGCUAGCUGUGACGUUACUGACAGAAGAAGCACCGGCUAACUCCGUGCCAGCAGCCGCGGUAAUAC